rnacentral:rRNA from 1 species
GACGAACGCUGGCGGCGUGCUUAACACAUGCAAGUCGAACGGAAAGGCCCCUUUGGGGGUACUCGAGUGGCGAACGGGUGAGUAACACGUGAGUAACCUGCCCUUGACUUCGGGAUAACUUCAGGAAACUGGGGCUAAUACCGGAUAGGAAUCCUUGCUGCAUGGUGGGGGUUGGAAAGCUUCGGCGGUUUUGGAUGGACUCGCGGCUUAUCAGCUUGUUGGUGGGGUAGUGGCUUACCAAGGCUUUGACGGGUAGCCGGCCUGAGAGGGCGACCGGCCACAUUGGGACUGAGAUACGGCCCAGACUCCUACGGGAGGCAGCAGUGGGGAAUAUUGCACAAUGGGCGGAAGCCUGAUGCAGCAACGCCGCGUGCGGGAUGACGGCCUUCGGGUUGUAAACCGCUUUCAGCAGGGGCGAAGCUUGUGGUGACGGUACCUGCAGAAGAAGCACCGGCUACUACGUG